UCUCAGAAAAAAAAAGACUGGGCCAGACACUUGGGCGCUCCCAGAGAAGUCCUGCCAUAGGGAGGGGGCGCUGCUCCAAGCCUGUUAGAGGUUGAUUUGUGUGGUUAUUACAAUGUUCCUGCAGAUGGCAGUCGAGUGUCUCGAGGAAGUCCCUCGUGGGCUGCAAGAGGGCACCAUUUCCCUGCCUCCAGUCUGCCCAGAGUCCUGCUUCCAUCCUUCAGGGCCCAGGAAUCUUCAGUACCCGGAGCUCCAGGGCUGAAAUGGGGCUUCUCUUUCUUGGGAUUUAGCAUAGCUUGAGAUUUGAGAGCUCAGCAGCCCCAUCUCACACCCUUUUCCAUCCCCAGCCUAGCAAACAGAAGAGGAAGUUUUCUUCAUUCUUUAAGAGCCUCGUCAUUGAGCUGGACAAGGAGCUGUACGGGCCUGACAAUCACCUGGUGGAGUGGCACCGGAUGCCCACCACCCAGGAGACAGAUGGCUUCCAGGUAAAACGGCCUGGAGACCUCAAUGUCAAGUGCACCCUCCUGCUCAUGCUGGAUCAUCAGCCUCCCCAGUAUAAAUUGGACCCCCGAUUGGCAAGGCUGCUGGGAGUGCACACGCAGACGAGGGCCGCCAUCAUGCAGGCCCUGUGGCUUUACAUCAAGCACAACCAGCUGCAGGAUGGGCACGAGCGGGAGUACAUCAACUGCAACCGUUACUUCCGCCAGAUCUUCAGUUGUGGCCGACUCCGUUUCUCCGAGAUUCCCAUGAAGCUGGCGGGGUUGCUGCAGCAUCCGGACCCCAUUGUCAUCAACCAUGUCAUUAGUGUGGACCCUAACGACCA
rnacentral:sRNA from 1 species